GACUGCACCCGCGGCAUAUGGAGGUUCCCAGGCUAGGGGUCUAAGUGGAGCUACAGCUGCCGGCCCACACCACAGCCACAACAACGCCAGAUCGGAGCUGUGUUUGUGAUCCCACACUGCAGCUCAUGGCAACGCUGGAUCCUUAACCCACUGAGCAAGCCCCAAACGAUGAUUAUGAAAACUGAGAAAUACAAUCAGAUUCUAACUAGAGAGUGUUGCUUGCUGAAGACCUGUGUUGAAGCCCAUUUCUCUUGCUAAAACUGGAAAGGCUGAAAGAAAAUUGAAAAGGGAAUUGUUCCCUCGUUCUGAGCUGAUGCUAUUUCAUGCCUUGCCUGUGGACGAUCUAAAAUCAUGAGUAAAACCAGGAGUGCACACCUUAUGCCUUGGAAACGCUAAUGUAAGGGAUCGGAGUCCUUCUAUUCUUCAAAGAGAUUGGCCACAAGGGCUGACGGGCCCUCGGAGACCAGCCCCCAUCCCUGUCCAUCUCUCCCCUGCCAACUUACCAUUCCCACCCUUUGAUCAGCAUGUGGGGGACUGUUGCCAACUUUGAGGUCUCUGAGAUUCUUGAAGGGAGCAGUUCUAAGAGGCCUCAAGCCAACAGUGCUUAUUCCGCCAUCAUCAAGUUGAAUGACCUGAGAAAAAGAUGAUCACUGUCAAAUGGUAUGACCCCACUUCUGUACACACACAUGUUCCCCAUCGGGGAGCCAGUCUGUUGGGGGUCCUCUCCAUCCACACUGCUGCUGUAACAAGAGGGAGGGGGUUCCUUCUGGGAGAGGGCUCUUCCCUAGAGAGGCCUAGGGUGAUGAGAUUCCGACAGCCCUGGUCUGGGUCUUCCAGAUGCACGCUUUUACGGUCUCUGAAUACGUUUUCCUCACCACUGAAGUAGUGACACCGAGCACUGCGGUGUCGCUGGGACACAGAGGGAGACCGUGGUGUCUCCCCUGCCUACCUUCUCGUGUCCACCACUUGGAAAUUCACGUAACCCGGAUAAAAGGCCGCCUCCAUGUGCAAGGCCUUUUACCAUUUGGCUGAGACCAUGAUAGAGAAGGCUCUGGACUGAACAGACAAGUGAGGCAUUUUCUGCUAUUAGUUGAAGGCAGUGAAAUAAACUCAGAGCUAGUGGGUUAAACUAACGUCGUUUUCAGAAGGUCCCGAGAAAGGAGAACUAGCAGUUUGUUCUACAAAUGUGGGGUUUUCUGGUAGAAUGCUGGCCAAAUGACUGAGGCAUGGUUUUGAGAAUCAGAAUAUUUCCCUUUCUUCCUCUCUUCCACUCCCUCCUUUUCCUUCCUCCUUAAAAAAGACACCAAAUGCUAAAGAUGUGUGUGAAGCAUUGUGCUCUGAGACAGGCUUCAUGGGAGCUAUUAUUACAGCCAUUUGCUCUUGGGACAGGGUCCUGCUAAGGAAUCCAUUUUUAAGACAAAUUUCACAGCAUUUACUUUUUUUAACUUAAAAAAAAAAUUGAAGUAUAGUUGAUUUACCGUGUUGUGCCAAUUUCUGCUGUACAUACAGCAAAGUGACCCAGUCACACAUAUAUACAUUCUUUUCCUCAUACUAUUUUUCAUCCCAAUCUGUCCCACGAGAUUGGAUAUAGUUCCCUGUGCUGUACAGUAGGAUCGAAUUGCAUAUCCAUUCUAAAUGUCAUAGUUUGCAUCUGCUAACCCCAAACUCCCAGUCCAUCCAAGUCCCUCCCCACCCACCUUGGCAACCACGAGUCUGUUUUCCAUGUCUGUGAGUCUGUUUCUGUUCUGUGGAAAGGUUCCUUUGUGCCUUACAUUAGCUUCCACAUAUAAGUGAUAUCAUAUGGUAUUUGUCUUUCUCUUUCCGGACUUAGCUCCACUUGGUAUGAAAAGCUCUAGUUCCAUCCAUGCUGCUGCACAUGGCAUUAUUUUGUUCUUUCGUAUGGCUGACAGCAUUUCAUUGUGUCUAUGUUCCUCAGAAAACUAAAUAUAGAACUACCAUAUGAUCCAGCAGUCCUACUCCUGGGCCUAUAUCUGGAAAAAAAAAAAACACAUUUAUUUUUGUCUUCCCUGCUCCACCAACUUGGCCACACCUGCAAACAGCAGUCACAACACAAGUGCAUGUUCAUAUUUUCUUUACUUCUCCCAUCUCACCCUUCCCUGAGGCAAAGUGGCUGCAGCACCCCUGGCACAGGUCCCCUUCUUCGUCCCCCUGUGUCAGGCGUGGAGAGGCCUCUCUUUGCUUCCCCGAACAGGGAGGCCAGCCCUGAUUUCUCCUUCCCAUCACCUCUAAUCCAUGCACAAGUCCUGCUGUGUCCAGUUCUGGCACUUCCCUCAAUGCCUUCUACUGCUCAUGGCCAAGGUCAGUGUCAGCUGCCGCCAUCACUGACCUUGUCUCCCGGGCAGCCUCCUCCUAACUGGUUUCCCUGCUCCCGCCAACACACCUCUGAGUCUCUAUUCUUUCCACCUGUUGCCAACGUCCCUCCUCCCGUCUCAUCUUUCAGCCUUCGGGACUUAAGCCAGUACUUUUCUCUACCCUCGUCCCCUUUAUUUUCAAAAAUCCCACUAUGAUGUUUAAGCAGUUAUUUGCGAUUGUGUAUUUAAUCCUGUACCUACUUGAAUCAGCAAGAGCAUUUACCUCGAUUGCCUCCAAAGCCCUUCCUUGCUUUGGUUUCCUUAUACGUUCUGUGACUUUGAGCAACUUAUUUAGCCUCUCUCUUUAACGAUAAAAUAGGGUUUCUGAUCUGUGCCUUAGAAGUUUCUCCUGAGAAUUAAGUGAGAUCGAUUGCAAAGUGUCUAGAAUAAUGCUUGGCCCAGAGUAGUUAGUGCCAGUUCCCUUUCCUUGUUUCCAGGGGGUGAGGGUAGGAGGGGUGGUUAGUCAGGACCCUUGAUUGUAAGUGACAGAAACCUAAUGGGAGCUAGCUGAAACACAAAAGGGAAGUGAUGACCUGGUGUUUCUAAACCAAUGGAGAAAUAGGGUGAAAGCUGAACCCAGGGACUCAGAUGCCCUCAGCUGUCCACCUCUUUCUCCAUCUCAUUCUCUCACUGUGUGUGUGUGUGUCUUAUCUUUGCUUCUCCCCAUCUGUGACUUUUAUUCCCUCAGUUGCCUGCUUUUCUGAAGCAGGAAACACGUUUCUGCAGCACAAGAGCCCCCGCCCCCCAUCACAGCUCCACUUGCAGAGACAAAUGCUCCUUCUUUCUCUGAAUUCCAGUUAGAGAAAUGCCCGGGAAAUACUCUGAUUGCCCUUACUUAAGUCACGUGCC
rnacentral:lncRNA from 1 species